rnacentral:rRNA from 1 species
AGUGAACGCUGGCGGUAGGCCUAACACAUGCAAGUCGAACGGCAGCACAGGAGAGCUUGCUCUCUGGGUGGCGAGUGGCGGACGGGUGAGGAAUACAUCGGCAUCUACUUUUUCGUGGGGGAUAACGUAGGGAAACUUACGCUAAUACCGCAUACGACCUACGGGUGAAAGCAGGGGAUCUUCGGACCUUGCGCGAUUGAAUGAGCCGAUGUCGGAUUAGCUAGUUGGCGGGGUAAAGGCCCACCAAGGCGACGGUCCGUAGCUGGUCUGAGAGGAGGAUCAGACAAACUGGAACUGAGACACGGGCCAGACUCCUACGGGAGGCAGCAGUGGGGAAUAUUGGAUAAUGGGCGCAAGCCUGAGACAGCCAUACCGCGUGGGUGAAGAAGGCCUUCGGGUUGUAAAGCCCUUUUGUUGGGAAAGAAAUCCAGCUGGUUAAUACCCGGUUGGGAUGACGGUACCCAAAGAAUAAGCACCGGCUAACUUCGUGCCAGCCGCCGCGGUAA